rnacentral:tRNA from 1 species
GGAGGGUAUAGCUCAGUGGUAGAGCGUGUGCUUAGCAUGCAUGAGGUCCUGGGUUCAAUCCCCAGUACCUCCA